rnacentral:rRNA from 1 species
CCUACGGGUGGCAGCAGUGGGGAAUAUUGCACAAUGGGGGAAACCCUGAUGCAGCGACGCCGCGUGAGUGAAGAAGUAAUUCGUUAUGUAAAGCUCUAUCAGCAGGGAAGAAAAUGACGGUACCUGAGUAAGAAGCCCCGGCUAACUACGUGCCAGCAGCCGCGGUAAUACGUAGGGGGCAAGCGUUAUCCGGCUGUACUGGGUGGAAAGGGAGCGUAGACGGCAGUGCAAGUCUGGAGUGAAAGGCGGGGGCUCAACCCCCGGACUGCUCUGGAAACUGGACGGCUGGAGUGCAGGAGAGGUAAGUGGAAUUCCUAGUGUAGCGGUGAAAUGCGUAGAUAUUAGGAGGAACACCAGUGGCGAAGGCGGCUUACUGGACUGUAACUGACGUUGAGGCUCGAAAGCGUGGGGAGCAAACAGGAUGAGAUACCCCAGUAGUC